rnacentral:rRNA from 1 species
CCUACGGGGGGCAGCAGGCGCGAAAACUUUACAAUGCGCGAAAGCGUGAUAAGGGAAUCCUGAGUGCUUUACUUAAAGUAAGGCUUUUGUCAAGAGUAAACAUCUUGGCGAAUAAGUGGUGGGUAAGACCGGUGCCAGCAGCCGCGGUAACCCCGGCGCCACGAGUGGGAAUCACAUUUAUUGGGUCUAAAGCGUCCGUAGCCGGUUUGAAAAGUCUUUUGUGAAAUUGUUAUUCUAAAGGUAACACCGUGCAAAAGAUACUGCCAAACUAGGGACUGGGAGGAGUAAGGAGUACUCCAAGGGGAGCGGUAAAAUGUUAUAAUCCUUGGAAGACUACCUGUGGCGAAAGCGCCUUACUAGAACAGCUCCGACGGUGAGGGACGAAAGCUAGGGGAGCAAACCGGAUUAGAUACCCGUGUANUC